CUCUUCUGAAAAGCGCCUGCCCUGGUCUCUUUUAUAAAUGUGUUUCUUAAAACUAUUAACCUUUCCAGCCUGUUGCUGUUGUAAACACAGAUUUAUGGGAGCUGUAAUCCAAAAAAAAAUGUUUCCAGAUUGGUCGUUCCUGUUACAUAGAUCUUUGAGAAGUGGAAGGUAAGGGUUAAUCUGUUGAGGAACUGUCUGGAUUGCUCAAUUAGAU